CUACACGGGUAUCUAAUCCUGUUCGCUCCCCACGCUUUCGUCCAUCAGCGUCAGUUAAAUCUUAGUUACCUGCCUUCGCAAUAGGUGUUCUAUGUAAUAUCUAUGCAUUUCACCGCUACACUACAUAUUCCGGCAACUUCAAAUUCACUCAAGACUAACAGUAUCAAUGGCAGUUCGACAGUUAAGCUGCCGGCUUUCACCACUGACUUAUCAGCCCGCCUACGGACCCUUUAAACCCAAUGAAUCCGGAUAACGCUUGCAUCCUCCGUAUUACCGCGGCUGCUGGCAC
rnacentral:rRNA from 1 species